GUUCUUUAUCACAUCCUUCAAUAACAUAAAAUACUGUCUUAAUAUCGUUCAAUGAGAUAAAAUACGGUAUUAAUUGGAGGAAUAAACAAAGAAAUAGCCGUAGAGUUAGGAAAAAGGAGAGCCUGUAUCGGGAAGUCGCGUGAGGGUAGAAGGUGGUAGAAGCAUAGAUAGUGUAGUAAGAGGGAUUGGAAACGGACCGCGAUUGUCGGCCAGUCCAGGCUGCGCAGGAAGUUAAUUCACUGCACCGGAAGCUAAUAAUAGUUUCUUCACAUCACCUUGGGAUGGCAGCACAGAUUACAGAGCAGACAGACAGCACAUGAGACCUUGAUAAGAGCUAGAGCUAAAGCUAAGAGCAGUGAUGAGCAUCGAAGAGAAACACUCUACUGAGAUCGAGAAAAGCCACUAAGCCUCUGUUUGUGAAGACGAAGGAUUCAAGAUAUUUAGCAGUGCCAGCAUCAUGUAACUGCACUGACUUUGAGCAACAAAGUUGUAGCUAUGAAUGGAUGAUUUACAAGGGAAAUACAAUUUAAUAGCUAUCACUUUAGCGUAUUGUGUAUUCACACUCUUAUACUCUUAGUGUAUAUAGUUCAUUCGA